rnacentral:snRNA from 1 species
AAGUGCUACAGCUCUUUUACAAUUUGUCUAGCAGGUUUUUCAGUUCACACUGGAAAACACCCCC